rnacentral:rRNA from 1 species
GAUGAACGCUGGCGGCGUGCUUAAUACAUGCAAGUCGAGCGAACGGACGAGGAGCUUGUUUCUCUGACGUUAGCGGCGGACGGGUGUGUAACACGUGGAUAACCUCCCUAUCAGACUGGGAUAACUUCGGAAAAGCGGAGCUAAUACCGGAUGAUCUCUUGAUCCGCAUGGUUCAAUGGUGAAAGACGGUGUUGCUGGCACUUAUAGAUGGAUCCGCGCUGCAUUAGCUAGUUGGUAAGGUAACGGCUUACCAAGGCGACGAUGCAUAGGCGACCUGAGAGUGGGAUCGGCCACACGGGAACGGAGACACGGUCCAUACGCCUACGGGAGGCAGCAGUAGCGAACCUGCCGCAAUGGGCGAAAGCCUGACGGAGCAACGCCGCGCGAGUUAUGAAGGCCUUCGGAGCGUAAAACUCUGUUACUAGUGAAGAACAUAUUUGUAAUUAACUGUGCACUUCGUGACGGUACUGAAUCAGAAAGCCCCGGCUAACUACGUG